AUUGAACGCUGGCGGCAUGCCUUACACAUGCAAGUCGAACGGCAGCAUGGAGAGCUUGCUCUCUGAUGGCGAGUGGCGAACGGGUGAGUAAUGCAUCGGAACGUACCGUGUAAUGGGGGAUAACGUAGCGAAAGUUACGCUAAUACCGCAUACGACCUGAGGGUGAAAGCAGGGGAUCGCAAGACCUUGCGUUAUACGAGCGGCCGGUGUCAGAUUAGCUAGUUGGUGAGGUAAAGGCUUACCAAGGCGACGAUCUGUAGCGGGUCUGAGAGGAUGAUCCGCCACACUGGGACUGAGACACGGCCCAGACUCCUACGGGAGGCAGCAGUGGGGAAUUUUGGACAAUGGGGGCAACCCUGAUCCAGCCAUGCCGCGUGAGUGAAGAAGGCCUUCGGGUUGUAAAGCUCUUUCGGCCGGGAAGAAAUCGCACAGGCUAAUACUCUGUGUGGAUGACGGUACCGGCAUAAGAAGCACCGGCUAACUACGUGCCAGCAGCCGCCGUAA
rnacentral:rRNA from 1 species